UUUAAUGAGAGUUUGAUCCUGGCUCAGGACGAACGCUGGCGGCGUGCCUAAUACAUGCAAGUGGAACGCAUUUUGAUCACCGUAGCUUGCUACACCGAUUAAAAUGAGUCGCGAACGGGUGAGUAACGCGUAGGUAACCUACCUUCUAGCGGGGGACAACUAUUGGAAACGAUAGCUAAUACCGCAUAAGACAUUUUAUCGCAUGAUAGGAUGUUAAAAGAUACAAUUGUAUCACUAGGAGAUGGACCUGCGUUGUAUUAGCUAGUUGGUGAGGUAACGGCUCACCAAGGCAGCGAUACAUAGCCGACCUGAGAGGGUGAUCGGCCACACUGGGACUGAGACACGGCCCAGACUCCUACGGGAGGCAGCAGUAGGGAAUCUUCGGCAAUGGGGGCAACCCUGACCGAGCAACGCCGCGUGAGUGAAGAAGGUUUUCGGAUCGUAAAGCUCUGUUGUAAGCGAAGAACAGUGUUAGGAGUGGAAAGUCUAACACAUGACGGUAGCUUACCAGAAAGGGACGGCUAACUACGUGCCAGCAGCCGCGGUAAUACGUAGGUCUCGAGCGUUGUCCGGAUUUAUUGGGCGUAAAGCGAGCGCAGGCGGUUAGAUAAGUCAGAAGUUAAAGGCUGUGGCUCAACCAUAGUACGCUUUUGAAACUGUUUAACUUGAGUGCAGAAGGGGAGAGUGGAAUUCCAUGUGUAGCGGUGAAAUGCGUAGAUAUAUGGAGGAACACCGGUGGCGAAAGCGGCUCUCUGGUCUGUCACUGACGCUGAGGCUCGAAAGCGUGGGUAGCGAACAGGAUUAGAUACCCUGGUAGUCCACGCCGUAAACGAUGAGUGCUAGGUGUUAGACCCUUUCCGGGGUUUAGUGCCGCAGCUAACGCAUUAAGCACUCCGCCUGGGGAGUACGACCGCAAGGUUGAAACUCAAAGGAAUUGACGGGGGCCCGCACAAGCGGUGGAGCAUGUGGUUUAAUUCGAAGCAACGCGAAGAACCUUACCAGGUCUUGACAUCCCUCUGACCGGCCUAGAGAUAGGCUUUCCCUUCGGGGCAGAGGAGACAGGUGGUGCAUGGUUGUCGUCAGCUCGUGUCGUGAGAUGUUGGGUUAAGUCCCGCAACGAGCGCAACCCUUAUUGUUAGUUGCCAUCAUUUAGUUGGGCACUCUAGCGAGACUGCCGGUAAUAAACCGGAGGAAGGUGGGGAUGACGUCAAAUCAUCAUGCCCCUUAUGACCUGGGCUACACACGUGCUACAAUGGUUGGUACAACGAGUCGCAAGCCGGUGACGGCAAGCUAAUCUCUUAAAGCCAAUCUCAGUUCGGAUUGUAGGCUGCAACUCGCCUACAUGAAGUCGGAAUCGCUAGUAAUCGCGGAUCAGCACGCCGCGGUGAAUACGUUCCCGGGCCUUGUACACACCGCCCGUCACACCACGAGAGUUUGUAACACCCGAAGUCGGUGAGGUAACCUAUUAGGAGCCAGCCGCCGAAGGUGGGAUAGAUGAUUGGGGUGAAGUCGUAACAAGGUAGCCGUAUCGGAAGGUGCGGCUGGAUCACCUCCUUU
rnacentral:rRNA from 1 species